rnacentral:rRNA from 2 species
AAUGACUCUCGGCAAUGGAUAUCUCGGCUCUUGCAUCGAUGAAGAACGUAGUGAAAUGCGAUACUUGGUGUGAAUUGCAGAAUCUCGUGAACCAUUGAGUCUUUGAACGCAAGUUGUGCCCGAGGCCUUGUGGCCGAGGGCACGCCUGCUUGGGCG